GCAAACAUUUCACAUGUUAUUCUGUCUGUCCGUCCGUCUACCUAUCUAUCAUAUUCAUUGGAGCACCAUCUCAACACCAUGUCUCUCCUUUUAGGGUUUGGAUUGCUGACCUGCAUAGCAUCAUCAGAGCCCAGUGCUGAGACCUCUGUGUUUGUGCAGAAGGGACAGGAUGUUCGCCUGAAUGUCCAGACAAAUGUUCAACUGCAAGAUGUUGAUGUUCUAUAUUGGAAGUUUAACAGAUCAGUCCGUGUUGUAAAGUACCCCCCAAAAGUUACCUUUGAAAGGUACCGAGGUAGGGCUGAAUUUAGUGAGGGAGACUUCUCUCUGCUACUGAAGAACCUCCAUGAAGAAGACAGUGGACUUUAUGAAGCAGUAGUGUCUGGUAACAAUGACAGAAAUGUUGCUACGUACGUGUUGGUAGUUCAAGAGAGAGUUGAGCCACCAGUUCUGACAGUGGACUCUUAACUCCACCGUCACUGUCACCUGUAACGUGACUGUGACCUGCAGAGGUCAGAACACCUCUGUCACCUCCAGCUGUAACAGCAGCACCUGCUCUCAGGUGGGAGGAGAUAGUAGAGGGGCUGAGACCUCCACUGUCCCCCUGCUCUCUGUGUAUGUGGCAGGGAGUUUCAUCAUCUGUAACCACAGCAACCACGUCAGCUGGGCCAACGACACCAAGGAGAUAGUGGAACUCUGUCCAACGAAAUGUGUGUCUCCCCCUGCUGGUAGCAUGUCUGUGUGCAUGCUGAAGAUCAUCUUGGUGUCUGUGGGGCUGGUCAUCAUGAUCUCUGCUGUCAUCACUGUCCACAUCAGGCACAGAUUCCACUAUGGAUAGAAUCAUGUGUGUUGUAUUUUUUCGACCUCAGACAAAGUGAUUCAUUUCUGAAAAAGUAGAGAUUUUGUGAUGAUUUUAAUCAGCAUUUUAUCUCUGCUGUUUUCCUAUUUGGAAGAAAUGUUGGUCGUACCGGUGUUGACUGCUCUUCCCACAUAAAGCCUCCAGUUCCCUCGAUGGAUGAUCGAUCAGUCAACCUACUUUUGUUGACAAAUUUGACACCUUUUGGAAGCAGACAAUGCUCUAUAAGGAGGAUGGGAUCCACCCUAAUCACUUCUGUGUCUGGAUCCUGUCUCAACACUACAAGGCAGCGCUGAUGCAUUGACUGAUCAAAUCAAGCUCCUCAAAAUGUAUUUACUCCCAUUAAAUAGCAUUGAUAUCAUUCUGCCACAGCUUCUCAUGUUGAUAGGGGCAUUGUAAAUAGUAAUUUUGUGCCUGUUAAUUUAAUUUCCAUUGAUAGCUCUGUUAGCUCCCGUUAGCUCUGUUGUUAGCUCCACCUAUGCUAUUAAUAGUUUUACAGUAUAUCAAGCUAUCAUUUUGCUACAUGUGCUCAUAAGCAUAGUGUUAUUGUUAGUUGUUCUAUUGUACUCAUUUAUCUGAAUUCUUAUAUUAGCUCAGGAACCAGGAAGCCCAUUGUGGCUAGCUCAUCCAGUUCUAUUGACUCUUGUGUCACCAUGGAUACUCCUGCUGUUUUCAAAUCUUGCAGAAGGCUUGGACUGUUACAUUUAAAUGUGCCUGAUGUCUAAACUGGACGUUCUGGGUGCAUGACACUAGUCCAGAUGUUUUGUUUAUCUCAACAUGCAACAAUUUCAUAGAUUUUACUGAGUUACAGUUCUUAUAGGGAAAUAAGUCAAUUUAAAUAAAUUA